AACGAACGCUGGCGGCAGGCCUAACACAUGCAAGUCGAACGAGUAAGAGCCGUAGCAAUACGGAGUUCUGCUAGUGGCGCACGGGUGAGUAACGCGUGGGAACGUGCCUUGGAGUUCGGGAUAACAGUUGGAAACGACUGCUAAUACCGAAUAUUCCCUCAGGGGGAAAGAUUUAUCGCUCCAAGAUCGGCCCGCGUAAGAUUAGGUAGUUGGUGGGGUAAUGGCCUACAAGCCUACGAUCUUUAGCUGGUCUGAGAGGACGACCAGCCACACUGGAACUGAGACACGGCCCAGACUCCUACGGGAGGCAGCAGUGGGGAAUAUUGGACAAUGGGCGAAAGCCUGAUCCAGCCAUGCCGCGUG
rnacentral:rRNA from 1 species